rnacentral:lncRNA from 1 species
CGCUUUGUGAGUACAACUGAAUUCAACAUCAAUAUUCUCAAAUAAUUCUUUAUUGAAUAAAAAUUUGUGCCAACCGACAAACAAAUUUAAAAAGAAAGUGGUGCAUAAUGUUGCAACCGAUUGAAAUAAUUUAAUAAUUAUUUAAAAUCUUAUAAUCGAGUUCAGUAGUAACUAAAAGACAAGUUAAAUCAGCCCCACCACAAUAAUUGUUACGAUUUUUUUUUUUUCAAAUUUCUUCCGCAUUAUCAGUCAUAUACAUUAAAAUACCCAAUUAAUCAACCAUUACACAUUAUCAGUCAUAUACAUUAAAAUACCCAAUUAAUCAUAAUGUUUCACAAUACUAAAAGAAUUAAUUAAGCAAAAGUGUACUAACCAGGACAUUAUGUGGAAGGCUUCUAGAGAAGAUUUGUCUGAAUGUUCAUACCAUCAUCUCUUUUCAAAUUUCUUCCCCAUUGCAGAACCCAAAUUAAAAUUUUAGAAUAAUAGAUGCCCAUUAACCUCUGUCACUUCCUAUAAAUCCCUUGGCAGAAGUUACCGUUCGAUGCUCCAAAGUCUUGAGAAGCCCUACAAGUAUCAAAGGCAAAAAAAAAAAAAAAAUCUGCUUCAAAAUGUUUGAGAUUCCAAUUUAAGAUUCUAAGAAGUAACAAAAGCUCUAAAAAAAUAAAAAAUAAAUAAAUAAUCGCUACAGAAGAGACUGAAGUUUCUAAUUUAAAAAUCUUAGAAUUUCCUAAACACUAGCCGUUGCAGAAGGAAAAGUGGCAGGAGGACGGAGGUUAGAAGAAGCAAGAUGGGUGAUUACGAUGAUGUGGCAGAUAGUGGGCGCUUGGUCGGUCUAAG